rnacentral:misc_RNA from 1 species
GAAAUGCGAUAAGUAAUGUGAAUUGCAGAUUUCAGUGAAUCAUCGAAUCUUUGAACGCACCUUGCGCUCCUUGGUAUUCCGAGGAGCAUGCCUGUUUGAGUGUCAUGGAAUUCUCAACUCUAUUUGCUUUUGUGAAUAGAGCUUGGAUUUGGAGGUUUAUUGCUGGUACUUGUGAUCGGCUCCUCUUGAAUGCAUUAGCUCGAACCUUUGCGGAUCAGCUAUCGGUGUGAUAAUUGUCUACGCCGUUGCAGUGAAGCAUAUCAAUGGGCUCGGCUUCCAAUCGUCCUUUACUGGACAAUGACUUUGACCUCUGACCUCAAAUCAGGUAGGAUUACCCGCUGAACUUAAGC